rnacentral:lncRNA from 1 species
CACUUGUGUGAGAGGGAGUUUUGAUAAGGUACAUGAUAUCUAACGCUUGUGUGAGAGGGACUUUUGAUAAUGUACAUGAUAUCUCACACUUGUGCGAGAGGGACUUUUGAUACGAUACAUGCUUUCUCACACUUGUGUGAGAGGGACCUUUGAUAAGGUACAUGAUAUCUCACACUUGUGUGAGAGGGAAUUUUGAUAUGGUACAAAAUAUCUCACACUUGUGUGAGAGGGACUUUUGAUACUUUAUGCAAUUUCUCACACCUAUGUGAGAGGGAGUUCAAUACUGUGUACAUUGUCUUACACCUGUAUGAGAGGGAGCCUUGAAUAAAAUCUCAUACCUGUGUAAGAGGAACAUACCUGUGUGAGGGGGCCUUGAUUCUGUGUACAAUUUCUCACACCUAUGUGAGAGAGAGUUUGAUACUGUGUACAUUAUCUCAUACUUGUGUGAGACGGAGCCUUGAACAUUACCUGUACAAAACAGUUUAUUCCUAAAAUUUCACAAGCUUUUAGGUACAUGUAUGAACAACCCAACCCCCAAUAAAAUCAUUAUGAUCUAGUUAAGAUGCAAACACUUUAAAAAUUCACAUGUUAAUGACUAUUUAUUCAUUUCUGACAAUAAACUGAGACAUGUGCACUAUUGGAUUGUACUGUUAAUGUUGCAUAUAUUUAUAUAAAUGUUUCACUGAGUGAGCAUGGAAUUCUAUCUCACAUGUGUAAAUACCUGUGUAUUUCACUUGCAUAUUUAGACGAGGUCAGAUUUCUUCAUUGAUACAGGCCUAGAAAAAGAAGACAAGUUUUAUUGUAAAACUAUUGAAAACAAAUUUAAUGACAAAUAUCUAGCUAAUUUAUCAAAGUCUUGGAACAAAAAAUUCGAAUGAAUUAUGUAUGAUUUUCCAUAAAAACGUUUUAUUGUUCAUUAGAUGCCGCUCCCCAUGUACAUUUUUAAGAGUAAGCCCUGUUUUUGGAUACAGAACAUGUACGCAUAUUGAUGAGUAAGGACAGACGGACAUACAAAGGCACGGCAUUGGGACUGCUAUUAUUGCACAGGGGAAUGUAUUUUCAUUUCAAACUUAUUAGAAAACCAGAUUUUAAUUUCGUAGGAUAAUCUCGUAGAUUUUUAUUUCCUCGGAGAAAUUUUUAAUUUCGAACAUCAGGUUAUUAUUGUGUGCUGGCCAAUGGCUUACUAAUGAAAUCAAUAUCCCAACUCUGGGUGGGGGUGUUGGGGUAAGUACGGGUAUGCCAUAGACUGAACCACCCAGGAAAACAGUGGGAUUUGUUUGAAAUUUGUCCUGAUUUUAUCCACAUAUGGAUUGGGUUGAGAAUUUUUCCAUACCUGAUGUUAUAGGAUUUCUCCCUGAAAUGUUAAUACGAUUUCUUAAUGUAUUGGUAUGUAGUAUUUCCACAUGUCAUUAUACAUGUAUAGGAUUCCCAUAUUAUUGGUAUGGGAUUUCUUAAUCUAAUGGUACGAGUUUUCUACAUGUCAUAGAAUAAGAUUUCUCUACCUUGAAUUGGAAUAGGAUUUCUUAAUGUAUAAUAUUAGUGUGUGAAUUUCCACUGUAAUUGUAUGGGAUUUCAGUUUGUAAUAUUAUCGGAUUUCGACUUGAAUUGGAAUAGGAUUUCCACAUGCAAUGGUAUGGGAUUUCUCCAUCCAAUAGUAUAGGGCCGAUUUCCACAUGCCAUUUGUUAUGGUAUGCAAUUUCCACAUGUAUUGCUUUGGAAUUUCCGACAGGAGAACACAGGUGAGACACGUAGUCCGAGACAUAUGUGGCCAUGUUUCUUUGGACAGUGAAGGUGGAACAUCACUGAAACACUGUCCCCGGGGACAACACGGAAGGGCUGUGAUUACAAUACACUGUUUGUAGCGUAACACUUCAUUUAUAAUGGAGGAAUUGUUUCAUAAAAGCUACCCAAAUGUCUGACCCCGCUGGUCAUACAGACAGUUUUAUCAAACCAUCAUCAGCACUUUCUCGAAAUCUGGUAAUUUAUUAACGAAGAAACAAAUCAGAUCCCUGCGUAAAAAGACAAUAUAGCUGUAAUCAGCGUCCAGCUGCCGUGACGGGACGGGACCCUACGGACGCGUUGUACAUCAACAUCAGAAUAGGGCUACUAUAAAACAAAAGGCUGCUAGUUUAUUGAUACGGCCACUUUACGGGUCUGAAGACUCGGGUAGUGGUAAUUAGACACCCAUCAAUCAUUCAUACGGCAAGUACUGACGUUAAACAACAAUUGCUGCGAAUUUGUACAGGAUAUAUGUUGAAUACCUCAAGGUAAAUUUGAUUUAAAAGUCAACUUUUAUAAAUUUUGUAUUUAUUAAAUUUAUAUGAUUAAAACGACCACCUGGCUAGGGUUUAAAAGAUUUAAAAGUACAUAGUACUCCAUGACAGUAUGCAUCUGGGCUUUAUCUUCACAAGUGACUACCCAGGGUUUAUAGUGGUACGGCUUUGUUCCGUGUACUAUGUGUUAUUUUAGAGGGAAUUAACUUUUGCCAUUUCGUUUGUAGAAACAAUUAAACCAACAUGUUACUUCUGUAUACAAGAUAGGUGCUCAGCAUGUAAUCUAUAAUUUACAGGUUCUGCUAUCAACUACAUAGUGUAUACCUGAUCAUUUUUGCGGCAUUGACAUUUUCACAUAACUGCGGAUUCAAAAAUGCAGCAAAAAAAAACAGCUCUAGGCAUGGUUUUAAGAUCUAGUUUAAGAGUAAAACAAAAGAGCUGCGGUUCAAAAUAUCGGAGCAUUGUUGCUUUGCCCAUUAGACACUGAUUGUGAACCAGAGGCCUGAAGACUUCUUUCUCUUGACCAGUUCAUACUUGAUAAAUCGGCUUAUUUUGUAGACAUGUUAUGUGACAGUCACAUGAUAGUGCAAGAAAUUAACAGACAUGACGGACAAACCUGUUCCCAAGGAAUUUUACAAUGCAAAAAUAUUAAUCUCUGACAACAAUCUGAAAAAUAACACUGCACAAAUUUAAAGGCUUAUACAGUAUACAGGUUUUGAUGUCAAUAGUUAAAAUGUCCUGAUGGAAAAGUUUUACUCAAAUUGGACGACGUUGAGAUGUUCUACUACUAACAGGUAGCCAUUUUAGUUCAAGUUGGUAUAUACACAUGGUGGGAUUUCCUUAAGAGUUACAAUAUAGACAGUUGUUUGAUAUAGACAGGUUUAGAUGUCAGUAUAUACAGGUGUCACAUUACAAAGUGUCUGUUUUACACUGAUUCUAUAGAAGAGAAUAGCAGGCUUCUAUUACAUACCGCUGGGGAAUUUUUCCAUUGAAACCUUUGUUAUUUUAAAUUAACAAAUAUUGUCUUGUUACUUUGUGUACACGGACACAUAUACCAGGAUAUUAGAUUGAUAGUUAUUGCUUUCCCCCGUGCUAAUGGGUAUGAAUAUUUGUUUGGAGGAUGACGCCUGCUGAUAAGGGUUACACCUAAUAUAGAUAUCAGUCGAAGUGAUUCCUCUUAAUGUAUUACAGUGUUUUUGGAUUAGCAUGUCGACAUUGUGUGGAGGUAUUUCUGUGGUACAGACAGUCGAGUCGCUCACCCGCGACCCAUUCUAGUACAUACGCCUGUAAUUCGCUGCGUAUCUGAUGUUGUAGAGGGUAGUACCGACAUUCCCGUCACUCAUCAGUCUUCCAAUCUUUGUUAUGCGACAUUUUCGUAUGUACAUCAAAGGCGCCUCCAAUUCACAACUGCAAAUUUAUUCAGUUGUAAUGAUUCUCUGAAAAGACAGAAUUGUAGAUUGUUACAACAUUAUUGAAUGAUCAUAUUUAGUGAUAACAGGUUUUUUAAGAAACAAAUAUAAGUCUGGCAUAGAUUGUCACAGAAUAUUCCCGGAAGCGUUUUCUUGUUGACACAAACUUGUCCAAUAUGAAACCAUUAUCAAAUGACAAUGUUAUUAGUCAUGAAAAAGGGCUGAUCCAUAACCUUAUUAAUACGGGGUCCCACACACUGUCUACCCUAUAUAAUAAAGGUUCCCAUGUACUCUCCAUGGUUUUAUUGUACACUAUAUGGUUACACUACAUACGUUUCCUAUAUGGUUACACUUCUCUGUAUGGUUCCCCUGUAUUAUAAGGAGUCAAUGUAUACUAAGUGUUUCCCAGUUACGAGGGUUCCAUUGUACCUCUACCCUGUACACUAUAUGCCCGGCCAGUACACUAAAAAGUUCCCUGUACCCUAUAUGAGUCGACCCAAUACAAUAAAAGGUUCCCCUGUACAGUACAGUAUAAGGUUCCCCUGUACAGUACAGUAUAAGAUUCCCCUGUACAGUACAGUAUAAGGUUUCCCUGUACAGUACACUAUAAGGUUCCCAUGUACAGUACAGUAUAAGGUUCCCAUGUACAGUACAGUAUAAGGUUCCCAUGUACAGUACAGUAUAAGGUUCCCCUGUACAGUACAGUAUAAGGUUCCCAUGUACAGUACAGUGUAAGGUUCCCCUGUCCAGUACAGUAUAAGGUUUCCCUGUACAGUACAGUAUAAGGUUCCCCUGUACAGUACAGUAUAAGGUUUCCCUGUACAGUACAGUAUAAGGUUCC